UGGGGAAUUUUGGACAAUGGGCGCAAGCCUGAUCCAGCAAUGCCGCGUGCAGGAUGAAGGCCUUCGGGUUGUAAACCGCUUUUGUACGGAGCGAAAAGGUCUGCCCUAAUACGGUGGGCUCAUGACGGUACCGUAAGAAUAAGCACCGGCUAACUACGUGCCAGCAGCCGCGGCAAUACGUAGGGUGCGCGCGUUCAUCGGAAUUACUGGGCGUAAAGCGUGCGCCGGCGGUUAUAUAAGACAGUUGUGAAAGCCCCGAGCUCAACCAGGGACCUGCAUUUGUGACUGUAUAGCUAGAGUACGGUAGAGGGGGGUGGAAUGCCGCGUGUAGCAGUGAAAUGCGUAGAUAUGCGGUAGAACACCAGUGGCGAAGGCGACAGACUGGCUCAUGACUGACGCUGAGGCUCGAAAGCGUGGGGAGCAAACA
rnacentral:rRNA from 1 species